rnacentral:rRNA from 1 species
GACAGAGGGGGCAAGCGUUGCUCGGAAUCACUGGGCGUAAAGGGCGCGUAGGCGGGAUGGCAAGUCGGUCGUGAAAUCCUUCGGCUCAACCGAAGAACGUCGGCCGAUACUGCCGUUCUUUGAGGGAUGCAGAGGAGAUUGGAAUUCCCGGUGUAGCGGUGAAAUGUGUAGAGAUCGGGAGGAACACCGGUGGCGAAGGCGGGUCUCU